AGCGUAUGGGAAACUUUCAUCAAGGAAGAUACGUCCCGUGAAUGGACACCGAAGCUGCGAUGGAAGGCGAAAAAAUGCCCGCAACAACCUUCGGGGACCGAUCUCUGUGGAUUCUUCGUUUGCGAGUACAUCCGCAGAAUUGUCAACGAGAGAACGAAUAAUGAAAGAAAUAAAGAGUUGGCAAGAAAGCGGAACAAGCUCUCAAUCGAUGACCGCUUCAUAGCAAUAGGCGAGGAAUUGGCGGGAUUUUUCCUUCGGGACGUCAUACCACAACUCGCAGAGCACCACUAUGAAUGAAGAUGUACAUGUUACAUAUAUAGUUGACUCGAAGAGUACCACUAUGCUACAUGUAAUAGACAUAUAUAGAGUACGCCUCGGAGAGCACCACUAUGCAUGAAGAUCGAUCUUCAUGCAUAGUGCUACUUAAUUUGCGAUCUUAUGCAAUAACAUGUGUGUUAUAUUAUAUGCACCAACUUGCUAUGCAUCAUCUUGAUCUUCAUGUACUACCUAA